GACAUUGCUUAGGUUGAAAGCUGUUGC
rnacentral:sRNA from 1 species